CCGCCCACAGCAGAAGAUAGAAGCCUGGUCUGAGACGGAAGUGGCUAGGCACAGGGGAUCCCGGAAACUAAAAGUUUUCCACUUGCGUUGAUUCUGCUCUGCUUCGCGGGCUUUUGUCUGCCCACAAUAACUACCUUCUCGUCUUCUCUUGUAGCUGGGCCUGGUGGUUAUAUUAUGCAUAGAGUGAAAUCCCACGUGACAUCCACCAGUGCCCGUCCAUGAGUCUUAAGACUAGACUUGCCUCCUCCAAAUAUUCAGCUGGAGAACGGAGAGAACAUGAAAAUUUUAGAACUGCUGUUGGAGGUGCUCACGCCGUUUGCUAAUUAACCACAGUAAAAUGCAUCAUGAAAAAGACGGAAUGUAAACGUGAACAUUUUAACAAAGAAUAACUAAUGUCCAGAGAAUAUCAAGAAACUGAAGCUUCCCAGAGGAAUCCAGAGUCCACCACGGAGACAGACAGCCAAAGACAUCACGGGAUCCCUUAUGUCUCUGCUCCCUGCAGGCAGCUGAAGGCUGGUGGGAAAACUCCCACCAAAGCUACAUGUGCCCCUCCCCUACCUAAAACCCUAAAUAAAAACACCUACCCAUUUCUA